rnacentral:rRNA from 1 species
UACGUAGGGGCCUAGCGUUGUCCGGAAUUAUUGGGCGUAAAGAGCUCGUAGGCGGUUCGGCAAGUCGGAUGUGAAAUCUCCACGCUUAACGUGGAGGGGCCAUUCGAAACUGCUGUGACUCGAGUCCGGUAGGGGAGUGUGGAAUUCCCGGUGUAGCGGUGAAAUGCGCAGAUAUCAGGAGGAACACCGAUGGCGAAGGCAGGUCUCUGGGCAUUAACUGACGCUGAGGAGCGAAAGCAUGGGGAGCGAACAGG